rnacentral:rRNA from 1 species
CCUACGGGAGGCAGCAGUGAGGAAUAUUGGUCAAUGGACGCAAGUCUGAACCAGCCAUGCCGCGUGCAGGAAGACGGCUCUAUGAGUUGUAAACUGCUUUUGUACGAGGGUAAACGCAGAUCUGCGUAUCGGUCUGAAAGUAUCGUAUGAAUAAGGAUCGGCUAACUCCGUGCCAGCAGCCGCGGUAAUACGGAGGAUUCAAGCGUUAUCCGGAUUUAUUGGGUUUAAAGGGUGCGUAGGCGGUCGGAGAAGUUAGAGGUGAAAUACCGAGGCGCACCGUCGGAAUUGCCUCUGAUACUGUGCGGCUAGAGAGUAGUUGCGGUAGGCGGAAUGUAUGGUGUAGCGGUGAAAUGCUUAGAGAUCAUACAGAACACCGAUUGCGAAGGCAGCUUACCAAGCUACUGCUGACGUUGAGGCACGAAAGCGUGGGGAGCAAACAGGAUUAGAGACCCGGGUAGUC